rnacentral:rRNA from 1 species
CAGCAGCCGCGGUAAUACGUAGGGUGCAAGCGUUAAUCGGAAUUACUGGGCGUAAAGCGUGCGCAGGCGGUUUUGUAAGACAGAGGUGAAAUCCCCGGGCUCAACCUGGGAACUGCCUUUGUGACUGCAAGGCUAGAGUACGGCAGAGGGGGAUGGAAUUCCGCGUGUAGCAGUGAAAUGCGUAGAUAUGCGGAGGAACACCGAUGGCGAAGGCAAUCCCCUGGGCCUGUACUGACGCUCAUGCACGAAAGCGUGGGGAGCAAACAGGAUUAGAUACCCGUGUAGUCCCUGUCUCUUAUAC